AUGUAGGGCAGUCUGACUUUAAAUAGGUAUAAAUUACUCUAAAAGAAAUGAAUACUACAAGUCAAGCAUCUUGU
rnacentral:pre_miRNA from 1 species